CAACGCGAAGAACUUACCAGGUCUUGACAUCCCGAUGCUAUUCUUAGAGAUAGAAAGUUACUUCGGUACAUCGGUGACAGGUGGUGCAUGGUUGUCGUCAGCUCGUGUCGUGAGAUGUUGGGUUAAGUCCCGCAACGAGCGCAACCCCUAUUGUUAGUUGCCAUCAUUCAGUUGGGCACUCUAGCGAGACUGCCGGUAAUAAACCGGAGGAAGUGGGGAUGACGUCAAAUCAUCAUGCCCCUUAUGACCUGGGCUACACACGUGCUACAAUGGUUGGUACAACGAGUUGCGAGUCGGUGACGGCGAGCUAAUCUCUUAAAGCCAAUCUCAGUUCGGAUUGUAGGCUGCAACUCGCCUACAUGAAGUCGGAAUCGCUAGUAAUCGCGGAUCAGCACGCCGCGGCGAAUACGUUCCCGGGCCUU
rnacentral:rRNA from 1 species